rnacentral:lncRNA from 1 species
UCAGAAAAGUUGACAAACAACGCCACCCAUCAACAGAAACCUUCUAUUUUCUUGUCUUGUUUGCAGAUACUGAGACAAACCCAGACCCAAAAAAUGGCUUCAUUCAGCUGCUUAUCUCUUAAAACACGCCACCAUAAUUACAUUGAACAACACAACGCAAGUCUGAGGCUCUCUCUCUCUCUCUCUAUCUGCCUUGUAACUCUCGCUGUAUGUUUCCCCGUCAAAAUUGUCUUUAUAAUGCUAUCUGCCUUGUAACUCUCGCUGUAUAAUUACAUUGAACAACACAACGCAAGUCUGAGGCUCUCUCUCUCUCUCUCUAUCUGCCUUGUAACUCUCGCUGUAUGUUUCCCCGUCAAAAUUGUCUUUAUAAUGACAUUGAUGACUCACAAACCAAUUCACAAUGAACCCACCCCAGGCCCCAAUUAACUUAUCAACAAAACUUGGUUUUUAAUGGUUCGCUCCCUCUCUCUCUCUCUCUCUCUCUCUUUCACUUUCAUAUCAUAAAUUCUCGCCGCCUUUGCUUUAACUCACUUUGAUCUGCUAAAAGUAAAAGAUCUUCUCUUUCUCUCUCUCCUCUGACGCAAAUCUCAAAAAAUGAUGCUGACACAGUUGUCUCUCCAAGUCUUUACCUCUAGCAUUAGCUUACCAAGCAGCAAAUGUAUGCAAAUACAAACACCACCCACAAAAAUAAUAACAAUAACAAAGUUUUUCUUAUUUCUAGUUUCUAUAUGCAAGCAAGCAAUGUAAUAAAAAUGCUUUGGUUCAUGUGUAAAAUGUUUUUUGAGAGUAGUUUUUGGAAGUGUUUUGGUUUAUGUAGCUUCUAAAUGCAAUGUGUAUAGGAGAAUAGGGGGGGAACUGGGUCUGUGAUAUUACAGGGUGGCUUGGCUUCAGAGAGCACAUUUUAAGCUGUUGCUUUGCUUUUAAUUAUGCCGUUAAAGUACGCCACCUUUUCUUUUUUCCCAUUUUUUUAAUUUUUUAUUUAUUUCCCGUUCUGCCCUCACUUGCUUACGCAUAUUUACCGUAAUUGCCCCCACUUUUGUUCUGGUCUGCUUCCCGAUUGACGCGUUGCUUACUUGCUUUGUCUUUUGACUUUUUGAC